rnacentral:rRNA from 1 species
UACAGAGGGGGCAAGCGUUGUUCGGAAUUACUGGGCGUAAAGGGUCUGUAGGUGGCUUGCUAAGUCAGACGUGAAAUCCCUCGGCUUAACCGGGGAACUGCGUCUGAUACUGGAUGGCUUGAGUUCGGGAGAGGGAUGCGGAAUUCCAGGUGUAGCGGUGAAAUGCGUAGAUAUCUGGAGGAACACCGGUGGCGAAGGCGGCAUCCUGGACCGAUACUGACGCUGAGGAGCGAAAGCCAGGGGAGCGAACGGG